rnacentral:rRNA from 1 species
UACAGAGGGGGCAAGCGUUAUUCGGAAUUAUUGGGCGUAAAGGGCGCGUAGGCGGCUUGGCAAGUCAAAGGUGAAAUCCCUCGGCUCAACCGAGGAACUGCCUUUGAAACUGCCUCGCUCGAGGCCGGGAGAGGGUAGUGGAAUUCCCAGUGUAGCGGUGAAAUGCGUAGAUACUGGGAGGAACACCGGUGGCGAAGGCGGCUACCUGGACCGGUUCUGACGCUGAGGCGCGAAAGCGUGGGGAGCAAACAGG